rnacentral:rRNA from 1 species
ACAUAGAGCGGAACCCGAAAACCUGUCUCAGUUCGGAUUGGAGUCUGCAACCCGACUCCAUGAAGCUGGAUUCGCUAGUAAUCGCGCAUCAGCCACGGCGCGGUGAAUACGUUCCCGGGCCUUGUACACACCGCCCGUCACACCAUGGGAGUCAGUAACGCCCGAAGCCGGUGACCUAACCGAAAGGGAGAAGCCGUCGAAGGUGGGACCGAUAACUGGGGUGAAGUCGUAACAAGGUAAC